UUGGUGCUGUAUUGGCCCGGUAAGUCGGGGCCUAAGGCGAGGUCGAAAGACGUAGUCGAUGGAUAACAGGUGGAGAUUCCUGUACUAUGUGUACCCAGAACUGUGGGGACGCAUGUGGAGAGCAUGAGCCGGGAAAGAAAAGACCGGUACAAGCGGGGUAGGAGUAAGGACAGCAAAUCUUCCUUACAAUCCGAAGACGUGAUGUGGACCGAACCAAAGUAGGGAAGCAUGUGAGCCAUGUGCCAAGAAAAGCCGCUAUUGUGAUACACAUACCCGUACCGUAAACCGACACAGGUGGAUGAGGAGAGAAUCCUAAGGCCGACGGAAGAAGCAUUGUUAAGGAACUCGGCAAAAUGACCCCGUAACUUCGGGAGAAGGGGUGCCCUGUGAAAGCAGGGCCGCAGAGAAUAGGCUCAAGCAACUGUUUAGCAAAAACACAGGUCUAUGCGAAACCGAAAGGUGAGGUAUAUGGGCUGACGCCUGCCCGGUGCUGGAAGGUUAAGAGGAGAAGUCAGGCAACGAAGCUUCGAAUUUAAGCCCCAGUAAACGGCGGCCGUAACCAUAACGGUCCUAAGGUAGCGAAAUUCCUUGUCGGGUAAGUUCCGACCCGCACGAAAGGCGUAAUGAUUUGAGCACUGUCUCGACAAUGCAUCCGGUGAAAUUGAAGUACCAGUGAAGAUGCUGGUUACCUGCGCCAGGACGGAAAGACCCCAUGGAGCUUUACUCCAGCUUGAUACUGGGAUUCGAUACUGUAUGUACAGGAUAGGUGGGAGACGUUGAACAUAGAACGCCAGUUUUAUGUGAGUCGCUGUUGGGAUACCACCCUUGCAGUAUUGGAUUUCUAACCUGCACCCAUGACCUGGGUGGGGGACAAUGUCUGGCGGGGAGUUUGACUGGGGCGGUCGCCUCCGAAAGGGUAUCGGAGGCGCUCAAAGGUUCCCUCAGAAUGGUUGGAAACCAUUCGAAGAGUGCAAAGGCAGAAGGGAGCUUGACUGUGACACCGACGGGUGGAACAGGUACGAAAGUAGGACUUAGUGAUCCGGUGGUAUAAAGUGGGAUUGCCAUCGCUCAACGGAUAAAAGCUACCCUGGGAUAACCGGCUUAUCACUCCCAAGAGUUCACAUCGACGGAGUGGUUUGGCACCUCGAUGUCGGCUCAUCGCAUCCUGGGGCUGUAGCAGGUCCCAAGGGUUGGGCUGUUCGCCCAUUAAAGCGGUACGCGAGCUGGGUUCAGAACGUCGUGAGACAGUUCGGUCCCUAUCCGGCGCAGGCGGAGGAUAUUUGAGAGGAGCUGUCCUUAGUACGAGAGGACCGGGAUGGACGGACCACUGGUGUAUCUGUUGGCUAUCGGAGCCAUGGCAGAGUAGCCAAGUCCGGCAGGGAUAAACGCUGAAGGCAUCUAAGCGUGAAGCCCCCCUCAAGAUGAGAUAUCCCUCAGAAAUGAGUAAGACCCCUUGAAGACUACGAGGUAGAUAGGAAUGAGGUGUAAGCACAGCAAUGUGUUCAGCUGACAUUUACUAAUCGGUCGAGGGCUUGACC
rnacentral:rRNA from 1 species